GACGAACGCUGGCGGCGUGCUUAACACAUGCAAGUCGAACGGAAAGGCCCUGCUUUUGUGGGGUGCUCGAGUGGCGAACGGGUGAGUAACACGUGAGUAACCUGCCCUUGACUUUGGGAUAACUUCAGGAAACUGGGGCUAAUACCGGAUAGGAGCUCCUGCUUCAUGGUGGGGGUUGGAAAGUUUCGGCGGUUGGGGAUGGACUCGCGGCUUAUCAGCUUGUUGGUGGGGUAGUGGCUUACCAAGGCUUUGACGGGUAGCCGGCCUGAGAGGGUGACCGGCCACAUUGGGACUGAGAUACGGCCAAGACUCCUCCGGGAGGCAGCAGUGGGGAAUAUUGCACAAUGGGCGGAAGCCUGAUGCAGCAACGCCGCGUGCGGGAUGACGGCCUUCGGGUUGUAAACCGCUUUCGCCUGUGACGAAGCGUGAGUGAAGGUAAUGGGUAAAGAAGCACCGGCUAACUACGUG
rnacentral:rRNA from 1 species